CUCCUGUCUCUCUUUGCCAGAGGCAGGUCAGCAGCCCGUUUUAUGACAGGCAGGAGGCGCGCUCCUCCCACGUUGCACUACCAAAACCAGGCGGCCCGCAGCCAGACUCACAGCCCACGGCUUCAGGUCCCUCAUCUGAAAAUGUGCACCAUACCCUCUGUAUCAAAUGUGAGGCCCAGGCCCUGCCCCAGGUCUCCCAAGGCCGCUGGCCCUAAUACCUCAGCUAACUUUGGAGUUCAAGAGCCUCAUUCCCCGAAGGGUGUUCUCUCUGCCUGGGACGUAGAAGCCGCUCCACGAACGCUUGUGGAAUGGACCACAGGACGGACCCCUGAAGGCUCUGCUCUCUCCUCUUUGCCUGGAAGCCUCCUACGUACCCAUCAAGGAAACAAAUAGCUUCUUCAAUCUAUUAUGUCAUUGGAUGCUCACAGCAACUCUCUGGGUGACUGGUCCACAGAUGCGCGUGUGACCUGGGAGCCACUGAGAGUCAGCCUGAAGACGAGCUAAGACUACAGGGAGGGACGCGCUCUUUCUGCCGGGGCGGCUGAGCUGUUAGGAUGUAAGCCUGAAGCUGCUGGGGGGCCACCUUUACCACCACACAAGGAGAAGCUACCUGAGGAUGAAGCCAGCACAGGGAGAGGCAGAACUGAGAGAUGGAGAGAGAAGGAGAGAAGGAGUGCUGAUGAUCUUGUUCCGGCCCCUGGAUCCAGCUGUACCUGAAGCCUGUAACCC
rnacentral:lncRNA from 1 species